ACAAAAUUAGCCUGGGUAACGGUAUUGUUCUCUUAUACGCUUGGUCGCAUAGACCCUGUAUCCCUGGAAGCAUAUAUGCUAUAUAAGAUGGUGUGUUGCUACAAUAAAGUUGAAGCUGCGUGCACUCACAUUGAGUGGUCGUGCUUCCCCACGCAAGGAGGGCAACCCUUUGGGAAAACUUGGGGCGUUUCCCAACAUAUUUGAAUCAAAUAUUUCUGGGUUUAUGUAUUUCCUUGAUUUAGCGGCCUCCUGGCCCCAGGGCAAUAGGAAACAAAUGCUCAGGGGGACAAAGGUAUGAGGAACGUUGCUGCUGCCUCAACCUCACUUGCUCAAAAGGCGCAUUCCCAACCCUACAGCUCAGACUGGCCAACCCUAAAGAGCUGGAGUAGUUACAAAGUGAGCUGGAAGCAUGGACUAGGGGGAAAAGAGCAGAGGAUUCACCUGCCAGAUGAUUUUCUUUCAUGUUGGCAGAUGUCAGCUAGUAACAAGGAAGGAAAAUAUGAAGACUUCUAACAAAUAUUUUUAUUUUUCACCCUUUACUGCACCUAAGAGAUGCAUAAGAUCUACAUUACAACAAGGAAAAAAUGAAAGCCUUUCUUAUUUUGCAGUUGCUUGAUUGUUUGAAUUUCAAUUGAGAGAGAAAAAAAUACCAUGUAUUUCUAGAUUCUGUAUUACUAAGGCAAAACUUUGCCAUAGAAAUAUAUAAGCAAGACUAACUGCAGUUUAAGUUGGUGCAACAAGUAUCUGUAAGGUGGGGGAAGGGAAAUCAAUAAAACCACAUUUCAACAUUUUUAACACAGAAUUAGAAAUUAGGUCUGGGAAAGGGAUGCUCUCUGGAGGUGGUUUCAAUGACUCUGAAAUUUGCUUACGAAAGUUAGAAAUAUAUCAAAGACUGAACACUUGAACACCAGCAGUUUUGUAUCUGAAUGAGUAAUAAAUGUUGAUAUUGAAUAAAAUCUGAAACUAAUUCUGAAUGGUCCAGUACAUCCCGCUAUAAACAUUGGCAUUCUUUUUGAAUCAGGUCAGAGGAAAACUCUGAUUAGAAGUCUCAAAAAAAGAGUGGUUCUAGAGUAAUUGAGUAAGUCUACAUUAUAAUCACGGAACUGUAAUUUAUGUUAGAAGGGAUCUCAAGAGGUCACUGAAGUCAUCUUCUUGCUCCCAGGUUGUUCACAACUGUGACUACUCAAAUUCUUAACGUCCCCAAGGAUGGAGGUUCAACAGCUUCUUAAGCAACCUCUUCAUGUGUUUGACAGCUGUCCUGGCUAAGUCAGAGAAAGAAAUACAAACACAGUAAUCAUUGCAAAACACAAUCAGUUUUUGUAUCUUUUCCUAAGCUCCUGUACUGUAAUUUAUUUGCAUCAUUUCCUGUCCACCUCUGCUGUAGAUGAAACCAAGACCAGCUCUUAGGCACUGCCUUCCCUAGGCUGUACAAGCCUUGCUCAUCCAGUUUCUCCUCAUAGGACAACAUCUUUGUGUUAUUACACCACUGUAAUAACCAAGUCACCGAUUGACCAACUAGACUACAUUUCCCUCCACCUUUCUGUUGCUUCUAGUGUACUAGAGGCUUAUAUAUCAUGCACAAAGGCUAAUAUGUGACACACUCAUAUGCCAUCGUUCACAUCCCUCCCUAGUUUCACGACCAGCAGAACGUGAUUUUCCUAACUGUUCUUGCAUGUCUAAACAGUGUCUGUAUAGUCCUCCUGUCUC